GAUGAACGCUGGCGGCGUGCCUAAUACAUGCAAGUCGAGCGAACGGACGAGAAGCUUGCUUUUCUGAUGUUAGCGGCGGACGGGUGAGUAACACGUGGAUAAUCUACCUAUAAGACUGGGAUAACUUCGGGAAACCGGAGCUAAUACCGGAUAAUAUUUUGAACCGCAUGGUUCAAAAGUGAAAGACGGUCUUGCUGUCACUUAUAGAUGGAUCCGCGCUGCAUUAGCUAGUUGGUAAGGUAACGGCUUACCAAGGCAACGAUGCAUAGCCGACCUGAGAGAGUGAUCGGCCACACUGGAACUGAGCCACGUGCCGGACUCCUUCGUGAGGCAGCAUUAUGGAUGCUUCCGCAAUGGGCGAGCGCCUGACGGAGCAACGCCGCGUGAGUGAUGCAGGUCUUCGGAUCGUAAAACUCUGUUAUUAGGGAAGAACAUAUGUGUAAGUAACUGUGCACAUCUUGACGGUACCUAAUCAGAAAGCCACGGCUAACUACGUG
rnacentral:rRNA from 1 species